rnacentral:rRNA from 1 species
AACGUAGGUGGCGAGCGUUAUCCGGAUUUACUGGGCGUAAAGGGUGUGCAGGCGGGCUGUUAAGUGGGGUAUUAAAUAUCCCGGCUCAACCGGGAGAGGUUAUGCCAGACUGGCAGUCUAGAGAGCGAGAGAGGGACGUGGAAUUCCGGGUGUAGUGGUGAAAUGCGUAGAGAUCCGGAGGAACCCCAGAGGCGAAGGCGGCGUCCUGGCUCGCAUCUGACGCUCAGACACGACAGCAUGGGGAGCGAACGGG